UGUUGUUCUAGCUAGUUGUCUACCUUGACUUCAGCAGGGCUUUUUCCCAUAAUACCCUCAUGGGUAAGCUCAGGAAAUGUGGGUUAGAUGAACAGGACCAAGAACUGGUUAAAUGACAAAGCAUAGAAGAUUGUGAUCAGAGGAAUUGAAUUAAGAUGGAAGCCUGCCAUUGGCAUUCCCCAAGGAUCAAUACUAGGUCCAGGCUUAUUCCAUUUAUCAAGAACCCAGACAAAGGAAUCAAAAGCACCCUCCACGGGUUUGCUGGUGACACUAAACUGGGGGUACUGUCUGAUUCACUUGAAGGCUCUGCUGCUAUUCCAUAGACCUUGAUCAGCUGAAGGGUUGGGCAGAGAGAAACUUAAUAAGGUUGAACUGAGUGUAAGGUACUGCACCUGGGGAGAAAGUGCUUCACAUGCCAGCACAGGCUGGGGUCUGACCUCUGCAAAGUGGUUCUGCAAAGGACCUGGGAGUCCUGGCAGACAAAAAGCUCUCCAUGAGCCAGCCAAGAAAGCUAAUAGUAUCCUGGGGUGCAUUAGGAAGAGCAUUGCCAGCAUGUCAAGGUAGAUGACCCUACCUCUUUACUCAGCAGUAGUGAGGCCACAUCUGGAGUGCUGUGCCCAGUUCUGGGAUCCUCAGGACAUUAGAGGGAAGGAGGUACUGGAGAGGGUUCAGCGAUAGCCACGAGGAAGAUGCAUCUCUCUUAUGCAGAGACACUGUUUAGUUUGGAUAAGACUGAGAGGGGGUCUCAUCAGUAUAUAAAAAUAUUUCAAAGGCCAAUACAAUGGUGCCAGAUCAAAUGCCUUACAAAUUAUUUGACUUGUUUUUGUAAGGCUUUUUACAGUAAUGUUUCAGAACAAAUUAUUCAUAAAAUGAGUGUAAACCACUCUGCUGAUAAAUUUUAAAAAUACUUUGUUCAAUCAGAGCAAGACUUCAGAGAAACAGAGCUGAUAACUUGAUAAAAAAUGUCUGUUUUCUAAGUGAUAAAUUUAUUUUCCUUUCAUGUUUUUGACAGCUUUAACGAGUACACAGUAUAGUGGACAAAAAAUCCUGAUCUCUUUAAUCAUCCCCAUAUGUGUGACUGUAGCUGUCCUUCUCUCUGCACUAAUAACAUUUCAGAAGAGAAAAUCAUUCAAGAAUGAGCAACCCAAAAAAGACAGGAAAAGAAAACUGAACCCUAAUGCAAAGGAUGAGAACAGUGAUGAUUUUAGCUCUCAGACUGAGGCUUUAUACUUGUCAACUGUCACAGCUUCAAGAGACAGUGGAACUGUGGGUCUGUGAAAACUCUUCAUCUUAUGUGCCAUAAUGUGCACUUUUUCUAUCUGUUUUGGGGACGUCAAAAGAAAAUUACAGCACUUUAGUCUUGGGAUAAACAGUGAACUCAUGGGGAUGUAUUUGCACUGCAGCGAUGGAAAGCUAUGCCUCCUCAAAUACCAUACCUUCUUGAAGUUACUGAGAACUAUGCUGUCAUGAAGUGUGGUUUACCACCACUGUGGAGAGGUCGAGUGCCUUUGUAACACUUGACUUUUGGACUUACUGUUGCUCAAGGGACUUUUGUUUAAGAAUGCUUUUAUUAACUGUUUCAGUCUCAGGAAUGGUGCUUGGAUUCAAACAUCUUGUGGAAUUUGUAUAAAAGCUGUAAAUGCUAUCUUAUGUCAAUUAUCUUUCAGGUGGAAACACCAUUACAUGCCCAUAUCCCAUUUCCAAAAUUUCUAACACAUUAAAUUGGAUAUUACCACAAGUACCCAUGAUCAUGGCAACAUCUAAAAGAUAUUUCAUAUCACAAGAGCAAUAAGAGGUUGAAAUUGAAUCAAAUGGCAGAAAAAAACCAACAAUCCAGCAAUAAAUCAACAUUAUAUUGCA
ensembl:lncRNA